CCAAUGUUAUCGAUGGCGGAUGGCGGUCCAUGGCGGUCCGGCCUGAAAACCGCCAUAAGGAUAUGGCGGGUGCCAUGGCGGGUUAUGGCGGACGCAUGGCGGAUUAAUAAAAUAAUAAUAUAUAUACUUAUAUAUAUGCAAAUUAUGAAAUUAACACAUGCAAAAUCCAAGAAAAAUCAUAGAAAACUUGAUAUCCUAAGUUUAAACAUAACAUAUUCCUAAGUUCAAAGUUCAAACAUAACAAAAUGCAAGAAUAAGUUCAAGUCUUCAACUUCAAGCAUAAGAUAUAGAUAGAUAGGUAAUAAUGCUAGUCCUCCUCAUCAACAUCCACGUAGUCAUCAUCUUCAUCAUCAUCCAAAGGAGCAAACCUACUGUUAGAAAUUAAAAAUGUUAGAAAAGAAAAAAGAAAUAAUCUACUGUUAAAAAUUAAAAAUUGGCAUAUUACAAAUUAAAAAAAAAAUGACAACUAAAUUUGUAAUCAUAAUCUUAAACUGAAAAAUUUCAGAAAAUAUGAAAUAAUCAAAAUAAUCUAGUGUUUAAAUGAAAUAAACUGCUGUAAAAAUUAGAAAAACAACUAAAAAACAAAAAAUAACUAAAAAACCAAAAAAAAGGAACCUACCUGAGGUCGCCGGAGCUCGCCGGAGCAGUGGGUCGCCGGUGCGUCGCCGGUCCGAAAAUCAGAGGAGGCGGCGCAGAGCAAUUUCAAGUUUGAACUUUGGAGGCUACUAUAAUGUUAAAACCCUAAUUUUUAAACCUAAUUUAACUAAGUAAAAGGGUUAAAGGGUCGGGUCAACCCGCCCGUAAAGCGGGUCAUGGACCAAAUUUCCGCCAUAUCCCGUCAUGGC
rnacentral:lncRNA from 1 species